CCUACGGGAGGCUGCAGUGGGGGAUAUUGCACAAUGGGGGAAACCCUGAUGCAGCGACGCCGCGUGUAGGAAGACGGUCCUCGGGAUUGUAAACUCCUGUCCCCGGGGACAAAGAUGACGGUACCUGGGGAGGAAGCUCCGGCUAACUACGUGCCAGCAGCCGCGGUAAUACGUAGGGAGCGAGCGUUAUCCGGAUUUAUUGGGUUUAAAGGCUGCGUAGGCGGAACAUGAAGUCGGCGGUAAAGUCGAGGGGCUCACCCCCUUUAAGCCGUUGAAACUGGUGAUCUUGAGUGGGCGAGAGGUAUGCGGAAUGCGUGGUGUAGCGGUGAAAUGCGUAGAUAUCACGAAGAACUCCGAUGGCGAAGGCAGCAUACCGG
rnacentral:rRNA from 1 species